UACGCACGCUGGCGGCGUGCCUAAUACAUGCAAGUAGAACGCUGAAGAGAGGAGCUUGCUCUUCUUGGAUGAGUUGCGAACGGGUGAGUAACGCGUAGGUAACCUGCCUUGUAGCGGGGGAUAACUAUUGGAAACGAUAGCUAAUACCGCAUAACAAUGGAUGACACAUGUCAUUUAUUUGAAAGGGGCAAUUGCUCCACUACAAGAUGGACCUGCGUUGUAUUAGCUAGUAGGUGAGGUAAUGGCUCACCUAGGCGACGAUACAUAGCCGACCUGAGAGGGUGAUCGGCCACACUGGGACUGAGACACGGCCCAGACUCCUACGGGAGGCAGCAGUAGGGAAUCUUCGGCAAUGGGGGCAACCCUGACCGAGCAACGCCGCGGGAGUGAAGAAGGUUGUCGGAUCGUAAAGUUCUGUUGUAAGUCAAGAACGGGUGUGAGAGUGGAAAGUUCACAGUGUGACGGUAGCUGACCAGAAAGGGACGGCUAACUACGUG
rnacentral:rRNA from 1 species